rnacentral:tRNA from 1 species
GCGGGCGUGGCGGAAUGGUAGACGCCGGGGACUUAAAAUCCCCUGAGGUUUCCCUCGUGCGGGUUCGAGUCCCGCCGCCCGCA